rnacentral:lncRNA from 1 species
AAGACCAACAACUGGUCAGACGUCCCAGGCAGAGACACAGAAAGAGUCUCACCAAAUACAGACCGACAUGCAAGAAACAGCCCUCCAGCGCACAGGGCACAUUCAUCCCAAAACACACACGCACAUGGGCACACACAGCCACAGAGGGAGAGAGGAGAGAGAGAGGAAGGAGUGAAAGAAAGACAUACACACACACAGACAUACAGCAGCGGCACAGAAACACCCAACCCCAGGUAGCCCU